UACGUAGGGUGCGAGCGUUAAUCGGAAUUACUGGGCGUAAAGCGUGCGCAGGCGGUUAUUUAAGUCAGGUGUGAAAUCCCCGGGCUUAACCUGGGAACUGCGCUUGUUACUGGCAGGCUUGAGUGUGGCAGAGGGGGGUGGAAUUCCACGUGUAGCAGUGAAAUGCGUAGAGAUGUGGAGGAACACCGAUGGCGAAGGCAGCCCCCUGGGCUAACACUGACGCUCAUGCACGAAAGCGUGGGGAGCAAACAGG
rnacentral:rRNA from 1 species